UAGAGUCACCAUAGAUAAUAUCCAGGCCCUACGCAAGCACGCUUGGAGCAGAAACCAAGCUGACGAGAAAAAUCAAGAGACACGAAGCAAGAGAAUCAAGCAUCCAAGUUGAAGAGGAUGAUCCUCCAUCGCAAGAUUUCUAUGCGAAAUAGGUUUUUAAUGGAGUAGUCUUGUUCGCUUAUGCCAGCCUUGAUGUUGGACCAUCUGCUGUACUUUGGAUUUAACAUCUUUCGUGGUGUUUGUUUUACUGUCAUGGAACUUCUCAUUCAAGUGAUCAUGUUUGUGGUACUUUUUGGGUUGGAUAUAUACUUUUAUGUUUAGAUGAUAGUUCUUAGGGCCAACUUGUGCAAUUUAUUGAAGUUAAUAAUCAAUUUAAGGACCACUUGCUCUCAAGCAAUUCUAUGUGAAAAGGCUAUUUGAAUACAUUUGAUAUAUGACGGUUUAUACCA